rnacentral:rRNA from 1 species
UGGGGAAUAUUGGGCAAUGGGGGAAACCCUGACCCAGCAACGCCGCGUGAAGGACGAAGGCCUUCGGGUUGUAAACUUCUUUGAUCAGGGACGAAAGCAAUGACGGUACCUGAAGAACAAGCCACGGCUAACUACGUGCC